UACGAAGGGGGCUAGCGUUGCUCGGAAUCACUGGGCGUAAAGCGCACGUAGGCGGCUUCUUAAGUCAGGGGUGAAAUCCUGGAGCUCAACCUCGGAACUGCCUUCGAUACUGGCGAUCUUGAGUCCGGGAGAGGUGAGUGGAACUCCGAGUGUAGAGGUGAAAUUCGUAGAUAUUCGGAAGAACACCAGUGGCGAAGGCGGCUCACUGGCCCGGUACUGACGCUGAGAUGCGAAAGCGUGGGGAGCAAACAGG
rnacentral:rRNA from 1 species